AGAGUUUGAUCAUGGCUCAGAGCGAACGCUGGCGGCAGGCUUAACACAUGCAAGUCGAGCGGGCGUAGCAAUACGUCAGCGGCAGACGGGUGAGUAACGCGUGGGAACAUACCUUUUGGUUCGGAACAACACAGGGAAACUUGUGCUAAUACCGGAUAAGCCCUUACGGGGAAAGAUUUAUCGCCGAAAGAUUGGCCCGCGUCUGAUUAGCUAGUUGGUGAGGUAACGGCUCACCAAGGCGACGAUCAGUAGCUGGUCUGAGAGGAUGAUCAGCCACAUUGGGACUGAGACACGGCCCAAACUCCUACGGGAGGCAGCAGUGGGGAAUAUUGGACAAUGGGGGCAACCCUGAUCCAGCGACGCCGCGUGGGUGAAGAAGGCCUGCGGGUUGUAAAGCCCUUUCGGUGGGGAUAAAAAGCCUUGGUUUAACACACCAGGGUCUUGAUCUAACCCAAGAAAGAAGCACCGGCUAACUCUGUGCCAGCAGCCGCGGUAAUACAGAGGGUGCGAGCGUUAAUCGGAAUUACUGGGCGUAAAGCGCACGUAGGUGGCUUUGCAAGUCGAUUGUGAAAUCCCCGGGCUUAACCUGGGAACUGCAGUCGAGACUGCUUUGCUGAAUAUGGAGAGAGUGGAAUUCCGUGUAGCGUGAAUGCGUAGAUAUCGAGACAUCAGUGCGAGCGACUCUGACAUACUGACACUCAAGUGCGAAGCCGUGGVDCGAAAGCGUGGRSAGCAAWCASGAUUAGAUACCCUGGUAGUCCACGCAUAACGAUGAGACUGAUGUCGAGGUCUGCCUUCGGUGUCGUAGCUAACGCGUUAAGUUCUCCGCUGGGGAGUACGGCCGCAAGGUUGAAACUCAAAUGAAUUGACGGGACCCGCACAAGCGGUGGAGCAUGUGGUUUAAUUCGAUGCAACGCGAAGAACCUUACCUGGUCUUGACAUCUGUCGAAUCUUCAGAGAUAAGGGAGUGCCUUCGGGAACGACAAGACAGGUGCUGCAUGGCUUGUCGUCAGCUCGUGUCGUGAGAUGUUGGGUUAAGUCCCGCAACGAGCGCAACCCUUGCCCUUAGUUGCCAGCAUUUAGUUGGGAACUCUAAGGGGACCGCCGGUGACAAACCGGAGGAAGGUGGGGAUGACGUCAAGUCAUCAUGGCCCUUAUGGCCAGGGCUACACACGUGCUACAAUGGUCGGUACAGAGGGUUGCCAAGUCGUGAGACGGAGCUAAUCCCAGAAAGCCGAUCGUAGUCCGGAUUGCAGUCUGCAACUCGACUGCACGAAGUCGGAAUCGCUAGUAAUCGCGAAUCAGCGAUGUCGCGGUGAAUACGUUCCCGGGUCUUGUACACACCGCCCGUCACACCAUGGGAGUUGAUUGCACCAGAAGUAGGUAGCCUAACCGCAAGGGGGGCGCUUACCACGGUGUGGUCAAUGACUGGGGUGAAGUCGUAACAAGGUAGCCGUA
rnacentral:rRNA from 1 species